UCCUGCCCCCUUCUUUUCCUGCCCACACUCUGACUCUAGUCCCUUCUCAACCUUGCUUCCCAAGCCCCAAAUAAACUCUAUUCUAUACUAGCAGGUCUGGCAGGUACCUCAGAAGGGAGGGAUGCCUCAGCGUGGGCCCUCCCAUAGCACCAUAUGUGCUACAAAGCAUACUGUUUUUAUGAAACAUAUCACCCUUCUCCGCUCUCUCUCUUCCUGCCUCCCUCCCUUUCUCCAUCUCUUCCUCACUCCUGCCUGACUGUCCAGGGCUGUCAGCCACUCAAAGCAUCAGUAAAAGGAAGUGACUUUUGUUGCUGUGUGGAGAUAGUAGUAGGCAGGACUGGUGUUCCGCAGGCAAGCUUCUGCCAGUGUUAGGCAUUGAACAUGACGGACAUGCUUUGAUACAGAGCUCCAUCCCCCACCACUCCAGUCUUCAUUGAGGCAUUUCAUAAAGGCCCUGCAGGAUCCAGAAUAUCUGUUUGUUUCCUGGAGCUCUGUGACUUUCAGCUCAACCAUGACCUGCCCAGAGGUCCUGAGUUCAAAUCCCAGCAACCACAUGG